GGGGGUAGCAUUGCCUUGGGUAUCCGGCGUAUUUUCUUUCGCCGGAUUUAAUCGGGAAGCCGGUGCGUUGUUCCAGUUCAUGCAGUUCAUCGAUCUGGAAAUCAGUCCGGCGCUGCCCCCGCAACGGUAAGCGAAUCAGCGAAUCUGCAUCCAGCCACUGUGCCUGCGUGUUCUCAACACGGCAUGGGAAGGCGCAGCUUCCGGUUCCGGUCGGAUCAUUCUCGCCGCGAACCCUUCGCAAGCCCGGAGACCGGCCCUCGGCAAAGACUUGUU
rnacentral:ncRNA from 2 species